ACAGGUAGAGAUUCCUGUACCAGUGCUAAUUGUUUAACCGAUGGGGUGACACAGAAGGAUAGGGAAUCGCACGAAUGGAAAUGUGCGUCCAAGCAGGGAGUGUGAGAAGUAGGCAAAUCCGCUUCUCGCGAAGCAUGAGCUGUGAUGGGGAAGGAAAUUAAGUACGGAAGUUCCUGAUUUCACGCUGUCAAGAAAAGCCUCUAGGAAGAGUAGUACUGCCCGUA
rnacentral:rRNA from 1 species